rnacentral:tRNA from 1 species
GGGCCAUUAGCUCAGUUGGUAGAGCACCUGACUUUUAAUCAGGGUGUCGCAGGUUCGAUCCCUGCAUGGCUCACCA